AAGUCGUAACAAGGUUUCCGUAGGUGAACCUGCGGAAGGAUCAUUAUCGAAACACAUCGGCGAGGGCUGUGGCUGGCCUUUCCAUGGGCAUGUGCACGUCCGAGCCUGUUUCAUCCACACACACCUGUGAACCUGAAGUGGGGCCUCCCGUGAAAACGGGUGAAUCCAUGUCUUUCAUCUGCCACGAUUGUUUUUGAAUGUAUAGAUAAAAGGCCUCAUCUGAGGCAUAAUAAUGCACAUAACUUUCAACAACGGAUCUCUUGGCUCUCGCAUCGAUGAAGAACGCAGCGAAAUGCGAUAAGUAAUGUGAAUUGCAGAUUUUCAGUGAAUCAUCGAAUCUUUGAACGCACCUUGCGCUCUUUGGUAUUCCGAGGAGCAUGCCUGUUUGAGUGUCAUUAAACAAUCAACCUCUGGUCGGUUUUCGAUCGGCGUCGAGAGGCUUGGAUUUUGGAGUGUGCUGGUCUGAUCGAGAUCGGCUCCUCUCAAACACAUCAGCGGAAGUAUGCGGCCAUCUUUGGCCUUCCCUUGUCUUUCGGUGUUCGGUGUGAUAGGCAUCUAGCCGUCAUCGUGCAAAAGGGAGGGUUGGGUUGUGUUUUUGCGCUUACAGUGGUCCUCCUGGACAGCUUCAUCUCCCUUUGACCUCAAAUCAGGUAGGAUUACCCGCUGAACUUAA
rnacentral:misc_RNA from 1 species